GGUAUCAUAGCUCAGCCGGCAGAGCAUGGGCUUUGCAUCCCGAAGGUCCAGGUUCAAUCCCUGGCAUCUUUG